GGAGUUUAACUCCCGGCAGUCUUCUCGUACCUUCUGCGUGAGGAGGAGAGACUGGCGCAGCCGUUCCUCCGCGCUCAAGGCCCUCAAGCGCUGCUUCAGCUCGGCCCGCAGGCCCCGCUUGGCACUGUUUACCGUGACCGCCGCCAUUCCUGGCAAGCACCGCCCCGGCCACGCCCAUCACCCUCGGAGCUUAAGGGGCGGGACUCCAAAUCCCCUGCCUCUGUAAACCUGCAGAGGUGCACAGGCCACUUAGGCAUCUGAGCAGACUCCCGUCCUGUGUUGGCAGAUAACAGCAUGGUGUGGCGUCCUUGACCCUUCCUGCUUGAUAGCUGGGGACUGUGCACGUAGCCCAGUGUGCUUACCCUCUCUCUCAGACCACAAAAGGUCGCCAUGCUUCUGCAGAGGGUCUAACAAAGGCUGUCAACUAUACUCCAGGACUCGAUAUUCAUCUAAUUGUGGAGUACAGGGCUCGAGAAGCUUCAGAAGGGCAAAGCAAGCCAGACAUGCGUAUACAUCAUACCGGAAGGCUCUUGGUUCCUCCUGGUCAAUGGAUAAAACAUUCUCCUUUACCACCAAGUGCCUUCCUCUCCCUUUCAGUCAGUUGGCUCCUUACUGAUAGAUUUUGGGCCCGCUUUUAUAACAUAUGGCAGGCCCUUUCUGGAGAUGGAUGUUCCCUCUCUGGACAGCUCAGGACUCAGUCAGACUGUUCGUUGUUAUAGAAGUAUUUAACCGCUGUUGCCAUCUGCUGUUUAGAGACAGAUAAUGCCUUUUUCUAACAGGACGUUUGACUGAGAAUGGAGCAGAGAACAAAUUUUACCUCAACAGUCUACUGUUACACCCUUCUCAACUGAUGACCGUCCGUGUACAAAAUCCUCAUUGACCGUGGGCUCCAGAAAACGCCGGAACAUAUUUACAAUCAUAAGAAAUAUCUAUCACCAGAAUGCUGCUGUUACUGUGGAUACUGAAGAACAUCAAGCCCCAACUUGCUCAUCCACACAAACACCACAAAACAAAAGAAAAGCUAAAUGUGGUGAUGGUUCACCUUCAGAAGAGGACGAGGAAAAGUCAUCACUGAGGAGGGUUAAGGUAGUUUCUAAAAGAAGCAGACAGAGCUCACCUUUCUUGAGAAAUAAGUUUCGGAGGGGCACUCUUCUCCCAGUGGAUGCUGCACAAUGUGACUUCACAGAUAAAAGUUAUAAAGGAAAACCACAAGACAACCUAGAAGUGGUAGCUCAAUGUUCUGAUGGUGCAGCUUUGCCAGUGGACAAGGGGAAAGGAGCAGUGAAAAUGGUGGAGACAACAUCGAAAAAACGAAGAUGUGUUUCUGCAAUCUUAAAGCUAUUUUCUCGAAAGCGUGUUGUGGCCCCCCUUAAAGAGAAAAGACCUCAAGUACUCCCUGGCACCUCCAAAGAAACAGCACCCGUUACAACAGAAGUGGUACCUGAAAAUGCGAACACUGCACCAUCAGCAAGGGGACAGGGAGAGCCACCAGUAGGGAUGGUGAAGGUGGAGACUAAAAAGCGUAGACACAGGGAAUUUGUCAUAAGACAACUGUAGUCCCCCAGGACACGCAGAGACCUUCAGUCUCUAAGGCUACAUCUACAAAAACAACUGAAAUAAAAACAAAAGACAUACCGGAGAAUGCUGACAACAAACUUGCACAAGAUGCCCAAAAACACACAUCAGAGAGCAUUGAGUCGGUGGAAGAAAGAAAACGGAGACGCAUUUCUGCAAUACUCAAAAGAAUGGAAUGCAAGCAAGCCAUAUGCCCUUCUGAGGUGAGGCAACUACAAGGCUGUACAAUUCUUUCACCUAAAACAAGAGGAAAGAGUGAUAAAGGCAGUCACAAUGCACCUGAAAUUAAGGAGAUAUUUUAUAGAGAAGAAGAGUUGGAAUAUCUUGAUGAGGGUUCCUUGGAAGAAUCUCAAAGCUGCAGUCACAAUGCACCUGAAAUUAAGGAGAUAUUUUAUAGAGAAGAAGAGUUGGAAUAUCUUGAUGAGGGUUCCUCGGAAGAAUCUCAAAGCUAUGGUAUCAAUGUUCCAGAAUCCCGAGAAACCAUCUCCAGCUCUCUGGUGUUAUGGAUAUCACCAUAUUCAUUAAAAUUGUACCAUAGAGGCAGUUCCCUCAAAAGUGACUUUUCAUGGUCUAAUAAGAAUUAUGUGCCUACAAUACAAAUGGGCUGGAAAGUUCACUGUUGGAAAGACUCUUUCCAUCUCUACGUGUGUCAUAUGCAGCACCAUAUGAUUACUUCCACCAUGAGACAGCGUUAUUUUCUUCCAGAUAUUGAUAACAUAGAAGACACAGAUACUGAAAAUGCACAAAAAGGUGUGGAUAGUCAAUCUGAAUCAACUCAUCUAGAAUACUGGGACCUGAGAAAUAAAUCGUCUACUGUUUCUCCUGUGGUCAACAUACUUCUGGUCCCAGAACAAAAAACAGAAGAUAAAUAAAUAAAGUAGAAGAAAAG
rnacentral:lncRNA from 1 species